GUGGCUGUCAUCUAUGGAGAUGGAGAGGAGAUCAUCAAAUACACAGGUGGGGGGAUAAAUCCACAUAAUUAAUUAUUUUCAUGCAUUUAAUAGACACCUACCUAAUGACCAUAUAUGAGAAAUGGGACUGGAAGGCAUUGGGAAAUAUUUCUAAGGAUUAUUAUAUCCAUUGAGAUUCUAGCUAAGUAAAAUUUCAUCAGAGAACAAACUUUACAAUCUUUUCACAUUCAACUUUUAGAGAUAUCAUGUUUAUUAUUCAAAGUUAUUUACUAAAGUUAACUCAUUUUUUUCAUUUGUAAUCAGAUUCAUUUAAAACAUAAAACUUUAUGUGAUGUGGUCUUUGCUAAAGUGCUUCUUCAGAAAGGCAAAUGAGCUAAAUGUACAAACAGAUUCCUAAUUGAACUGUGAAAUUUUACUCCUACUAUUGUGCUCAGUUUACUUUGUGGAAUUUUAAUGUUAGAAGACUAUCAAAGCAUAGCUGCAGGAAAAUGUCCUGCAUUACAAAUGUAUAUGCAGAAUUCCAUGAAUGUUAAUUAUUUCAUUCACAUCAAAUUCUCUACUUGGUGAAAUAGUUGACUUUUCUGUGUUCAUAACUAUUUUCAAAAAGGAGGGAGGGUUAAAUAAGCACAGAUAUUUACUCUGACUCCAAAUCAUGAAACGGAGCUUUUGUCAUCCUACUGAAGGAAUGGAAUGGCAGUAUCACUUAACUUAUUAACCAAAAAGUAUGAAAUAAUAAAUUUUAUGUUUUGUAAAUUUCAAGGGCACUUCUACUUAUCUGUCAUUGGAAAUCUGGUUUAUACUUGUUUCCAAAGAAGCUGCCAUCCAAAUAUUACAAGGUCCCAUAUUACCUGUGAGACAUGUGCUUCUUUCCAUGUAGUAUAUGCAAGAGGCAGCAACCUGACUUAGGAAGGGACGUUCUGCUGUACUCCUGACCCGUAGUUCCAAAAUUUACUUAAGUGUUACAUCCUGAAUCUUCACCAGGUGUCUCUCCCAUCCUCUGCAGUGUGUGUGUUUUACUGAUCCUACAGUGUAGAAGAAAUCAUAUCUCGUCCAUCCUACGUGACCAUGUCAUCAACGUCAUGAAUCAAGGUAAAGCACUGUGUGACUGUCAGAGGGCCCGGGCUCUUCAGGCUCUAUCAUGACAGAGUGCAGGAGCACCGACACAGCCCUGGGGGAAAUUCUUUGAACACAUGUCAUUGUUCAUUAUACAUGAAUGCUAACUUUCUGAGAGUCUGUUCUCCUUGGAACAGAAAAGAAUGUAUUUACUUAGUCAAAGAUCAUAAACCAUGUACCUGAGAUCCUGCUUCUCUACUUUAGCAAUGAUAUAAAACAAUGGUGCUUCAAAAAGUUUGUGGAAUAUGCCCACUUGGAAAAAAAUCUAUCUAGAUUUCAAAGCCUUUCUGCACAGAAUAAUAUUACUUUUCUAUUUCAAUUUUCCAUGCACUCUUGUGUAACGUUAUGGUACCUGCAGUUAGGACUACUAUUUGGUUCCAUUUAGGGUAAUCUAUAAUCAUUUUCUGAUCUAUCUGAAUUCUUCUGAUAUCUAAUUUGUGCACCAAAGAAAUUUAUGAGAGGAUUACUGACUCAUGCAUGCAUCCUGGAUCUUUAUUGGUAGCAUUAAUUUCUGCUAGUGACAUGUUUCAUUACACACACACACACACACACACCACACACAGACUGUGAUUUUUAUUUACAUGCAGUGUUAGUUACAGAGUGAUUUCAGAAUAUUUUGCUACCCUUUCUUAUUAAAAUAUCAGAGACCCUUUUAUAAGUGUGACUCCAAAUGCUAAGUAUAUAAACACACGUUUUUCACUUUCAGAUUAGGAACAUGUGUUGGCUUAGGCAUUAGUGUUCUAUCAGUGGACUCUUGAUAAAACAGAAUUAAGCUAGGACACCAUUUAUUACC
ensembl:lncRNA